rnacentral:sRNA from 1 species
CGCCGGACGCGGACGCGACGCUCCCACCAGCCCCGCCCGCAGAGGAAGAGGCGGAGGAGGAGGAGGAGGAGGCGGAAGAGGAGGAGGAGGCGGCGGCGGCGNNNNNNNNNNNNNNNNNNNNNNNNNNNNNAGAGGAAGAGGCGGAGGAGGAGGAGGAGGAGGCGGAAGAGGAGGAGGAGGCGGCGGCGGCGACCGCGGCCUGGGACGACGGAGACGCCGACGGGGGCGCGGCGCCCGCGGACGCCGGGGCGAGCGGCCCGUGGCCGCGGUCGCCCGAGUCCGAGUCCGGGGCCCGGCGCGGCGCCGCCCUCUUGGCCCCCACCCCCUGGGGGGCGAGGGGCGAGCGCGGGGCGGCGGAGGAAGAGGCGGAGGACGAGGCCGCAGGGCCCGAGUCCGACCCGCGCCUCUUCCGGGGGCGGGCCGCCGCCCCCUCCGCGGCGUGGGGGGCGGCACCGGGGGUGUUGGUGCCGCGGGGGACCCCGGGUCCUCCCUCCGCGCCCGGCCCUCCCGACCCGCGCGCGUCGGUCGCGCCUGCCCGGCCCAGACUCUGUGCUUGGGUGUCGGUCUGAGCCUGGGUCAUGCGCGACCGGGGCGCGCGGUGCGCGUCCACCGGCACGGCGGGNNNNNNNNNNNNNNNNNNNNNNNNNNNNNNNNNNNNNNNNNNNNNNNNNNNNNNNNNNNNNNNNNNNNNNNNNNNNNNGGCGACGGCCGCGCGGGGGCGCGCCGCGCGCCCCGACGACUGUGGCAGACCUCCCCCCCCGGGGCCCGAGGACACCUGCGCGGAGGAGGAGGAGACAAAGGAGAGCGGCCCGGGGCCCGCGGGGCGGCGCGGAGACGGCGGGGGAGAGUCGCUGAUGACUAUGGGGGGCUCCUGGGCCGCGCGGGGCUGUCUCGCGGGGGGCGUCCUGCCCUCCGCCGCCGCGGCGUCUUCGCCCACCCGCCGCGCCUGCGCGCGCCCCCCGCCGGCCGCAGGGGGAAGAGAGGCCACUCUCGGCACGACGGCCGCGACGGCAGGGCCGCCCCCAGACCCAGAUCCCACCCCCGCCCGCAACGGGGCGCCGCCGCUGCUGCUGCUCCGCGGGGCGCCAGGGGGCGCCGGUCGGGUCGCGGCGGGCUGGGAGGUUCCGCGGGUCGCCCCCGCACCGCCGCCCCCGCGCCGGGGCGCUCUUCGGGGGGCGGGCGGGACGUAGUCCGCUGCAGAGGGAGACAGAGACGGGAACCCCCGGUUAGUGCCCGACCCCCGCCCGACCCCCGCCCGACCCCCGCCCAGUGCCCGACCCCCGCCCAGUGCCCGACCCCCGCCCGACCCCCGCCCGACCCCCGCCCGACCCCCGCCCAGUGCCCGACCCCCGCCCAGUGCCCGACCCCCGCCCGCCCUCACCGUCGGCCAGGUCAUCGUCCUCGUCGUCCGUGCCGGGCCACGGGGGGGUGGGCGACAGGGCGCGGACCGUGUGUCCCCCCAGCGACAGGGAGCGCGGGGCCGUCCGCGGGUUGCCCGUCCAGAUAAAGUCCACGGCCGUGCCGGACCGCACGGCCGCCUCGGCCUCCACGCGGGUCCGGGGGUCGUUCACUAUCGGGAUGGUGCUGAACGACCCGCUGGCGGUCACGCCCACUAUCAGGUACGCCACCGGGGUGUUGCACAGGGGACACGUGUUGCGCAACGGAAUCCAGGUCUUCAUGCACGGGAUGCAGAAGGGGUGCAGGCAGGGAAAACUCUGGCAGCGCAGGGGCGGGGCGAUCUCGUCCGUGCACACGGCACACACGUCGCCCCCCCCUCCCGCUUCCGCUUCCUCCUCACCCACGGGCCCACCCCCGCAGGAUCCCUGCGCGUCGGCGGGCGUGGGGCUGCCCUGGCGCUCGGCCGGGGGCCGGGCCGGGGGCGUGGCCGCGUCCAUCAGGCCCGCCUCGAACAUCUCCGUGUCCGUGCUGCCCGCCUCGGAGGUGGAGUCGCGGUGAAGGUCGUCGUCAGAGAUUCCCACCUCGGUCUCCUCCUCCGAGUCGCUGCUGGCGAGCCACUGCAUGUCGUUGAGCAUCCCCCAGGCGUGCGGGGCGGCGGGCUGCUUGACAAAGAAACGGGGGGGGGAUUUAGAGGGCGCGGGGCGUGAGGCGGGACCCCCGUGCCGUGUCCCCCGUGUCCCUCCCUCACCCCGGCCCCCCGCCCGCUGCUUUUUGUUCGGAAGGGGGGGAGAAAGGGGUCCGUAACCAAAGGUGGUCUGCGUCCUUUGGAUUCCGACCCCUCGUCUCCCCCCCUGUCCCCCGCUCUCGGGCUCAGGGCUCCCUGCCUCCCUCGCCCCCCCAAAGGGUCGGGGGGCGGCGCACGGCCCACGGGGGUCCCCCGACCGCUUAAGCGGGCCGGGGGUCGGCCCCGUCAAGCGUCCCCGCCCCCGAGCCCACCGCCCGCGACCACCCCCAACCCGCAGCCGGGUGGUCCGGGGAAAAGGGGGGGCCUGAGACCCGGGGGUCGCCCUCUCACCGUGCCGGGGGUCUGCCGCGGCGGCCGCUCGGGGCCGGGGUCCGCCCGGGAGCUCGUGCCGGGCCGGGGUUCCAUGAGCCGGGGUAGGGUAGACUCGAGACGGCGGCCCGCGGUCUCUCUCUUGCCGGGUGUUAGUCUCUGUCUCUCCGGGUCUCCUCCUCCCGCCGGGCCGCCGCUCCGUCGCUCGCAGUGCCGGGGUGCGAAUGCGGCCCGACCGUCACACGGGGCUGCCUUAUACCCGGCGCCUAUCCACUCCCCCAAAGGGGCGGCAUUUACGAUUCCCCCAAUAGCCGCGCGCCCCGGCGGGGGCGGAGGGAGGGAAUCCCCCCCUCUCGGGGCGGCCCCGUCCCCGGGGACCAACCGGGUGUACUCCAAGAACCCCAUUAGCAUGCGCCGCCCCCCGCCGACGCAGAUGGGAGUCCCCCCGGCGCCCCGCCGGCGCGGCCCUGAGUGGUGCCCGCCCCCGGGGAGAAAUUCAUUAGCAUACUAGGAAGCCCAGGGGACCAAUAGGGGCCGAUCAGCCCACCCACCCGGCGGCGCGCGAGGCUCUGCGUGUUCUGCCAAGAAAGUAAUCAGCAUAACCCGGAACCCCGAGGGAGUAAUUACGCGGGGAGCGAGGGGCCGUCCGAACGUUUUUAAUUACCAUAAGCGGGAAUGGCGGCCCGUUAAAAGCUGCUAAUUACCGCGAGCGGGAACGCCGGCCCAUUAAAAGUUGCUAAUUACCAUGAGCGGGGAUGGCGGCCGGGACCGCCUAUUAAAAGUUUCUAAUUACCAUACCGGGAAGCCGGCGCGGGGCGGUCGCCGGGGCGGAGUCCGGGCCCGCGCGGCGGCGCGCGGUUGGCCGGCGCCGCCCCCUGGGGCGGGCGGAGCGGCGGGGCGGCGCCGGGCCCUCGCGGAUAUAUACGCGGGGCUCCCAUCGUCUCUUCGGAGAGCGGCCUCGCGCAGACCUUCGGAGCUCCGGGGCUCCGCCGGCCGAGGCCGCCCUCGCCGGUUCAACCCUAGACCGCCCGACGGCCCGGGCCCGCGGCGCCGGAGGACCCGCGCGCCGCCGCCGCCGCCUCCUCCUCCUCCUCCGCGGGUCCGCCGUCUUCGUGGGCCCGGGCUCGGGCUCGGGCCCGAGCUCGGGCCUCGGGUUCCAGGCACGGUCCGAUGACCGCCUCGGCCGCCGCCACGCGGCGCCGGAACCGGUCGCGGUCGGCCCGCUCGCGCGCCCAGGACCCCCGUCGGGCCAGGCGCGCGGCCGUCUCCCAGGCCACCAGAUGGCGCACCUGCACGCGCGGCGAGAAGCACACCUGCGGGCGGGGAGACACGGGCGUCAGGGGGGCGGAGGGGGGUCAGGGGGGNNNNNNNNNNNNNNNNNNNNNNNNNNNNNNNNNNNNNNNNNNNNNNNNNNNNNNNNNNNNNNNNNNNNNNNNNNNNNNNNNGGGGGGCGGAGGGGAGGCGCACCUUCCCGCGCGGCGCGUCCGCGGGCGGGGACGCGGGGGGCCGCCGGCGCAGGCUCAGGCGCGCCAGGUACUCCGUCGUGGUGCGCAGCCGUAGCGCCAGGUGGGGCGGAAGGGGGCGCUGCGGCCCGCGCUCCUUGCGCGGCGGCGGCGGGGGGCAGGCGGCGGCAGGCGCGGCGUGCGGGGCCUCCGGCGCCUUCCCCCCGCCCUCGCUCGGGGGGCUGUUCGCCCACUCUGCGUCGUCGUUGCCGGCGUAGUCCGCGUCGUCGCUGUCGUCCGCCUGGGGCACCAGCAGCCAGCGCCGCAGGAGCGAGGACGCGGCCGGCGCGCUCUCGACCGCGGUUCCCGAGUCGUACGCAGGGACCAUUUGGGAGUCUGCGGUUGGGAGCGCGCCGGGGCGCGGCACGGCUGGAGCGCAGGGGCGCGGCCGGCNNNNNNNNNNGGGCGCGGCCGGCGCCGGGGACCCCGGCGGCGGGGACCCCGGCGGGACAUGGCGGGCGGCUGGGCUCGGCGUAGGCCCGGAGCCGGAGCGCGUCGGGGCGGGAGAGUUCACUCGGCACGCAUGCACGUGUAACCGCCAGUCCGUGCUUGCCUAGCGAACUCACCCGUCCCGGCUGGCGUGCGCAGCCCGGGCCGUGUUGCGGGCCCUCUUAAGGGGCGGCGGCAGGACGGGGACUCCCGCCCCGCCUCUUUUCCCCCGGGGAGUCAACCCCCGGGGGGUGUUUUUUGGGGGGGGGCGCGAAGGCGGGCGGCGGCGGCGGGCGGGCGGCAGGGCGGCCCCGCGCGCCCC